rnacentral:ribozyme from 1 species
CCAAAACUUCGCUGAUGGGAUGAAUCCGAGUCCUCUACAAGAAUAACAUAGGCUCAUAGGAACAUAAGAUAGCCCUUACUCAAUCCCCGUCGUACAGAACGGUAACAUGUCUACUCCUCGGGUUGCAUAGCUAACCGGCUUACCGUGGAUAUGCAUCAGCUGAUCGUG